rnacentral:rRNA from 1 species
CCUACGGGGUGCAGCAGUGGGGAAUAUUGGACAAUGGGCGAAAGCCUGAUCCAGCCAUGCCGCGUGUGUGAAGAAGGCCUUCGGGUUGUAAAGCACUUUCAGUGGGGAAGAAAGCCUUGGGGCUAAUACCCUCGAGGAAGGACAUCACCCACAGAAGAAGCACCGGCUAACUCCGUGCCAGCAGCCGCGGUAAUACGGAGGGUGCGAGCGUUAAUCGGAAUUACUGGGCGUAAAGCGCGCGUAGGCGGUCUGAUAAGCCGGUUGUGAAAGCCCCGGGCUCAACCUGGGAACGGCAUCCGGAACUGUCAGGCUAGAGUGCAGGAGAGGAAGGUAGAAUUCCCGGUGGAGCGGUGAAAUGCGUAGAGAUCGGGAGGAAUACCAGUGGCGAAGGCGGCCUUCUGGACUGACACUGACGCUGAGGUGCGAAAGCGUGGGUAGCAAACAGGAUUAGAUACCCGUGUAGUC